GAUGGUUCUUGGGUGACGCACCGCAGAAUUGGGCUCCUACCUCUCUGGUUCCGGGUGUGUCACCCGAGAACCGCA
rfam:Myotis brandtii contig205614, whole genome shotgun sequence.